AUUGAACGCUGGCGGCAUGCUUUACACAUGCAAGUCGAACGGCAGCGCGGGCUUCGGCCUGGCGGCGAGUGGCGAACGGGUGAGUAAUACAUCGGAACGUGCCCAGUAGUGGGGGAUAGCUCGGCGAAAGCCGGAUUAAUACCGCAUACGACCUGAGGUUGAAAGCGGGGGAUCUUCGGACCUCGCGCUAUUGGAGCGGCCGAUGGCAGAUUAGCUAGUUGGUGGGGUAAAGGCCUACCAAGGCGACGAUCUGUAGCUGGUCUGAGAGGACGACCAGCCAAACGGGGACUGAGACACGGCCCAGACUCCUACGGGAGGCAGCAGUGGGGAAUUUUGGACAAUGGGCGAAAGCCUGAUCCAGCAAUGCCGCGUGUGAGAUGAAGGCUUUCGGGUUGUAAAGCACUUUUGGCGGGAACGAAAAGGACUGUGCCAAUACCACGGUUCGAUGACGGUACCCGCAGAAUAAGCACCGGCUAACUACGUG
rnacentral:rRNA from 1 species